rnacentral:lncRNA from 1 species
GAGCAAUCAGCCUUCACAUCUGAAAGAGCCUAAUAGCAAGCUGCAGCAUUUUUGCAAUGUGAGAGUGAGGAGCUGAGAUGAAAACCCAAGCUUCCUAGUUCCUAAUCCAGAGCUUGUAGUGUCUUUGUGAUACAGCCUUGCAGAGAGGUUAAAAAAAAAUCCCCAAAUGAAAACUGAUGGCUUAUCUAUUUAAAGUAGAGGCAGCAAAUAACUCAUGAAUUCAUGCCUUUGCUUAUUACGUCCCUUGCAGUGGAGAUGGAUGGAUGAGUCGAUCUAUCUCUGCCUACAUGUCUCUCUGCACUAUGCAAGGAAGAUGAGAUAGGUUGGGGAAAGCAGUGAGGUAUGAUGGAUAGAGGACAUGGCCGAGACUCAGAGAACUGAAGAUAUAGCCCUAGUUCUGCCGACAGAGUGAACUUGAGGAAAAGAAAACAUCAGCACCAGAGCCAAACCUAUUUCUCCGGGGAGAGGAUUCCUGCAGGGGAGGUCUGCUCAUGUUCUGGGGGCUGCCCUCCAUCAUGGCUACCUACCUUCGGAAUGUUUGCUUUCACUGGGCCCUCCUGGAUGGAUUGGCAACUCUUCCCAAGUCAGACCCUGGUAUGCCCUUGUUGGUUUCUAGCAGUUAGCAGGCUGGGCAAGGAGGCGACUGGGAAGAGUCCUCCUCAAUGAACGCAUGCGUGUAAGAGGGAAGGAAUGAACUACGAACAGGAAGUAAAUUUCUUUCCAAGAGAAAAAAGCUGGAAAAAUAAUUGUUCCUCUUGUUUAGAAGAUGACAGCUUUUUUUUUUCUUCAUUAAGCGCCCUUCUCUUCAAAAGACAAAAAAGGUAAGAUUCUCUGGGUCAGAAGCCAGACAGACUUUUUCACAGCUCUGAAAAAGUGAGAACAGCGAAUUCACUUCCCUUCUCCCAAAAGGCAUGUGCCACCGGGUGCUCCUGCUCCCUGCAAGAUCCCUUCCUGUAGAGUUAGGAGGUAGAGGUGUGGCUCCGAUGUGUUCCCCAGGCGUCCCUGUGAGGUCGGCGCCCUCCCCUGUCCAUUCCCCUUAGAGCCUUGGGUCGCUUCCCACCCCGCGUCCCCUGGGACACCACUGGACGCCUGGCCCUGCCCGUGAGCGCCGCUCCACUCCGCCUGGAUGUGGGCACGCGGGAAGGCCACUGCCCAGCCGCCACUCCCGGCUUCCCUGAAGGGCAGGGCAGGGGCGGGAACGGAAGGGAGCUGCAUGGAAGGAAGCCGUUUGGGAACUGUGGUUGGUCUGACUGGGUGUUGGGUUUGUGGCUACCCAGAGAAAGGCACGGAGUUAGCCCUUCGCAGUGGGUGACGCCCUGCUCCUCGCCCGGUCCCCCUCAGCUCAGCCUCCUGUGAAAGAGAAUCUGGGGCUACAACGCACUUCCCUCCCCAACUCCGGGGAACGCCGUCUCCCUGCAGCGUAGUAGGAAAGGCGCCCCUGCAGGGGUGCAGCUGCAGCCCCAGGGAGAAGCCCCUUCAAC